rnacentral:tRNA from 1 species
GGCAUAAUAAUUUAAAAAGAAUAUUUAAUUUGCAAUUAUAAAGUGGCAACGCCUUAUGCCC